CCUACGGGUGGCAGCAGUGGGGAAUAUUGGUCAAUGGGCGCGAGCCUGAACCAGCCAAGUCGCGUGAAGGAUGACUGCCCUACGGGUUGUAAACUUCUUUUAUAAAGGAAUAAAGUGAGGCACGUGUGCCUUUUUGUAUGUACUUUAUGAAUAAGGAUCGGCUAACUCCGUGCCAGCAGCCGCGGUAAUACGGAGGGUCCGAGCGUUAUCCGGAUUUAUUGGGGUUAAAGGGAGCGUAGAUGGGUUGUUAAGUCAGUUGUGAAAGUUUGCGGCUCAACCGUAAAAUUGCAAUUGAUACUGGUAGUCUUGAGUACAGGUGAGGUAGGCGGAAUUCGUGGUGUAGCGGUGAAAUGCGUAGAUAUCACGAAGAACUCCGAUUGCGAAGGCAGAUUACUAAACUGCCACUGACAUUGAUGCUCGAAAGUGUGGGUAUCAAACAGGAUUAGAUACCCGAGUAGUC
rnacentral:rRNA from 1 species